CAGUCGAACGAUGAAAGUCGUUUUGAUAUCUUCGGAUUGAUAAACUUCUGGAUUAGUGGCGGACGGGUGAGUAACGCGUGAGCAAUCUGCCUUACACAAAGGGAUAGCCUCGGGAAACCGGGAUUAAUACCAUAUGAUAUCUACAAGCCGCAUGGCCUAUAGAUUAAAGAAUUUCGGUGUAAGAUGAGCUCGCGUCCCAUUAAUUAGUUGGUGAGGGUAACGGCCCACCAAGAUAGCGAUGGGUAGCCGAUCUAAGAGGAUGACCGGCCACAUUGGAACUGAGAAACGGUCCAAACUCCUACGGGAGGCAGCAGUGGGGAAUAUUGCACAAUGGGGGAAACCCUGAUGCAGCGACGCCGCGUGAGCGAUGAAGGCUUUCGAGUCGUAAAGCUCUGUCCUAUGGGAAGAUAAUGACGGUACCAUAGAAGAAAGCCCCGGCUAAUUACGUGCCAGCAGCCGCGGUAAUACGUAAGGGGCGAGCGUUGUCCGGAAUUAUUGGGCGUAAAGAGUGCGUAGGCGGCAAAUUAAGUCAGAUGUGAAAACUAAGGGCUCAACCCAUAGAUUGCAUCUGAAACUGAUAUGCUUGAGUCAAGGAGAGGAAAGUGGAAUUCCUAGUGUAGCGGUGGAAUGCGUAGAUAUUAGGAGGAAUACCGGUGGCGAAGGCGACUUUCUGGACUUGAACUGACGCUGAGGCACGAAAGCGUGGGGAGCAAACAGGAUUAGAUACCCUGGUAGUCCACGCCGUANACGAUGAGUGCUAGGUGUC
rnacentral:rRNA from 1 species